UGCCAGACCCAACAUUAUUUCGUCGAUC
rnacentral:piRNA from 1 species